UGCUAUGUGGCGUUUUAAUCUUGAACAAUGUUGGCUUUAGGACCCAGGGCAAUAAAACAUGUCAAUAUCUUCCAGUGCUCCUCCUGAGCGCUCCGCAGCCUUCCGACCUACCCGCGCACAUCGUUUGGAAUGCCGAACCUGCUCGUUGUGUAACCUAAACGAUGUUUCUAAUGUCUCCUAACACACUAUUCCCUCUCUUAUUUAUAUCCACCAUUUGUAGCGUUGUGAACGGUCAACUGGGAGAAUCUAGGCUGAGCGAAAGACCUUACGUCGUGUUUCAAAAUCAAAAUCUGGUUCUGCUCGUGAGUGUGUUUUCCGUUCUGCUGGUGGUGAUGAUCAUCAUGGCAGUGUGUGUUUACAAACCUGUGCGUCGACGGUAAAACAGGCUGCCAUGCAGGAAGCAUCAUUUUGACACUGGAGGACACAAUACAGUGAGGGACAAUCGAAGUGGUUCACUCAACCAAAGAUCUUUGACUCAACCUCGCCUCUGUGUUUUGCGGAGUUCUGUUUUUGGAACGAGUAGGCUAGGCUUACAUUUCCCUUGCCUUAGUUAAGCCAUAAUAAUGAAAUCAAAAAUGGGAUCAAUUGGUUUUACAAGUGUAAGUUUUGCCCACUUUCAUUCAGUUGGGCCUACCCUAGCAUUAAUGUAGGCCUAAUUUGAUAUCCUUUUGUUGUUUCCUUUGAAAGAUGUGAGAUAUUCACUCUAAGUCUAACACUAGGGUAGCAAUAGCCUAUUAGUUGCAGAAUAUAGGAUAGGUUUCUGUCAUUUUAUUUGCCAGAACUCUUAUGCUGCUGUUGUCUCAUAUCUGUCUCAUAUUUCCUAAUUUGUGCACUUUCACUACUUUGCAAGAAGAAUGUAGCCUACCUGAUAUUUAUCACUGUCUUAUUUUGGUUUAAAUAUUUAUUGUUCAAGGUUUAUUUUUUUUAUUUAUUUAUGAAUACCUUAUGUUUUGGUGGAAUACAUUGGUGGAAUAAAUUGGGGAUGUGUAAGA